UCCAUGUGUAAUUCUUCUUGGU
rnacentral:miRNA from 1 species